CUUGCUUUGGCAGAACAUAUACUAAAAUGGAAUGAUAUAGAGAAGGUUAGCGUGGCUUCUGUGCAAGGAUGGCAUACAAAUUUGGGAAGCAUUCCAUAUAACU
rnacentral:snRNA from 1 species